rnacentral:siRNA from 1 species
UCAGCCUGUUUAGAUUUGGGUCG